CCUACGGGAGGCAGCAGUAGGGAAUAUUGCUCAAUGGGGGAAACCCUGAAGCAGCAACGCCGCGUGGAGGAUGAAGGUUUUAGGAUUGUAAACUCCUUUUGUGAGAGAAGAUAAUGACGGUAUCUCACGAAUAAGCACCGGCUAACUCCGUGCCAGCAGCCGCGGUAAUACGGAGGGUGCAAGCGUUACUCGGAAUCACUGGGCGUAAAGAGUGCGCAGGCGGGCUUGUAAGUCAGAUGUGAAAUCCUGUAGCUUAACUACAGAACUGCAUUUGAAACUAUGAGUCUAGAGUGUUGGAGAGGUAGGUGGAAUUCUUUGUGUAGGGGUAAAAUGCGUAGAGAGCAAGAGGAAUACUCAUUGCGAAGGCGACCCACUGGAAAAAGACUGACGCUCAUGUACGAAAGCGUGGGGAGCAAACAGGAUUAGAUACCCCGGUAGUC
rnacentral:rRNA from 1 species